rnacentral:misc_RNA from 1 species
UUUCCGUAGGUGAACCUGCGGAAGGAUCAUUAAUAAUUUGCCGAACCUAGCGUUAGCGAGGUUCUGCGAUCACUUUAUAUUUAAAACCCAACUCUUAAAUGUAUAAUUAUGUAUUUUUUUAAUAAAAAAUAAAGAUCACUUUCAACAACGGAUCUCUUGGCUCUC